AUGAACAUCUUCAAGACUUUUUUAAUAUGCACAGUGUUUUCACACAUUAAAACAGAAAUUCAGAUUUUAAUUAACCCAGUGAAUUUUUCUGAAAAUAUGCUCCCUGGAACGCAACUAAGUCGUGCUUAUGAUAAAGAUGUGGCUGGAAAGGGAGAUGUCUACCGUUUUCUGAAUAAAACAUAAGAUUUUGCCAUCGAUGCAAGUUCUGGUGUAAUCACUGCUACCAAAAUUUUUAAUUGUGAAACAGAUCCAAUAAGGUUUCUUCUGACAGUUGAUACUGGGAGGCUCUAUAGACAUGUUUUGACCAUUAAUAUUAUUGAUGUUCCCGAAUCUCCAAACUGUACUGCUGAUCCCAAAUUUUCUUCAGGCACAGCUACCUUAGAAAUUGAUGAGGACUAUCCAUUAUUUCAGUCCAUUUAUAGAGUGACGGCCACAGAUGAGGACUUCGCAAAUGGUGAUAGGCUGAAUUACACCAUUGAGACACAGAUAUCUGGACCAAAGAAAGGAGCAAACUCUUUUGGAAUGAAUCCUAUAAGUGGUGUUGUUAGAUUAAGAGGUGAAGAUCCCCUGGAUUUGGAUACUGGAUAUCAUGUUUUCCACCUUGUACUGAAAGCAACAGAUACAACAGGUCUGUUCUGUCAAGGGACACUAAUUAUCUUGAUUAGAAACAUAAAUGAUGAGAAGCCUCAAUUUGAGCCAUUUCCUUUGGAUUCUAUUAAUGUGACUGAGAAGAAAUCUGUUGGAGAAAUUAUAGCAGGAGUAAAAGCAACAGAUCGAGAUGAAGAUAGCAGUAUCAUUUAUUCCUUUAAGACUCAGCAGAAAAUGUUUGGUUUGGACCCCUUCACAGGAACAAUCACUCUUCUUCAGCCUUUGAAUCUUGUCAACCCAAGUAACUCCAAAAUCUACUCUUUGGAAAUUGAGGCAACAGAUAAUGGGAAUAAUACCAGCAGCUAUACGUUUACAGUUUUUGUGGAGAAUGUAGGCGAUCCUAUUUCCUGUGAUCCAAGUUUUUCAACAGGAGCAGGUGUUUCAGUGUCUGUUCCUGAAAACAUUCCUGCAUCUACUUUUAUAUAUAUAUGAUUCUUUCAAGAGAUCCAGAUCUAGGACAGGAAGUUGAACAUUUCCAUUUAGUGAUUGCUGUGAGAAAUAGGCAAAACCUGUCUUUGGAGUUAUGCAUUGGCACCAUCAGUAUCAACAUCCAGAAUGUCAAUGAUGAGAGUCCUCUUCUUACAUAUAUACCAGAUGCACCUAUAAAUAUUUAUGAAAAUCUGUCUGUUGGAAGAAAGCUGGUCAAGUUGACAGCAACUGAUAGAGACAUAGGGGACUCAGUACAUUAUGAACUUAUAGGGACACAAAAAGAAUUUUCUAUAAAUGAAGAAUUGAACAUCCUGAAAACAUCCCAGUUGAAACUCUUUUGGUCUCUCUAACUUGUACAGAUAAGGAUGGAACUGCUCCCAAUAACAGUAUAACGUAUCAUUUGAUUAUGGAUGCCUUUUCAAAUGGAACAUUUACCCUCACAAACAAUGAACUGAGAAUUGGACCUAGACAUCUAGAUUUUGAUAAUGCUAUUUUUGCAGGAAUGCAUUUCAAACAUUGUUUGUGAAUGUGUCUAAUGAAGGAAGUCCUGUACUAUCAACAAUUAUUACAGUCAUUGUAAGGGUGAGUCGCAUAAAUGAACUGAAUCCAAUUGGAACUGUGUUGGCAUUUACCUUCAGUGUAUCUGAAAAUAGUCCAGUUGAUACACUAGUUGGAAAAGUUACAUUUACCAAUGCAGACUGGCCAUUUAAUAAUAUGGAAUAUACGGUUGUUGGAGGCAAUUUGGGAACACCUCCCAAAUUCUACAUUGAACCAGAUACAGGAGUGAUAAAGCUAUUAGAUUCACUAGACAGAGAAUUUGAAUCAGUACAAGAUAGCUGUAAAAGUAACAGACUUGGACAACGAUGCCAUCCCUGACCCCCUCAGACAGAGAAGUGGUACUGCUCAGGUGACCAUCAAUGUUCUGAAUAUGAAUGAUGAGCCUCCUGUAUGCAAUCCACCACAUUUGGAAACUCAAAUUUAUUCCACUGUUAAGAGUCCUUUCAUUCAGCUCAACUGUUCAGACAAAGAUUCUUCACAGGAACAUCUGAGCUAUUCAAUUGUAGGAGGAAAUACAAAUAAUCAAUUCACACUUCAGAGACUAGGUGUUAAUCCUCCUUUCUGGCCAUCACACAAAAUUUCCAGUAUGAGGUAUUUCAAGGGGUUCAGAGCCCUAUGACUUUCCAGAUACUUAUUGAAGUCACUGAUGAAUUAGGUGGGAAUAAGCCUAGUCAGCUGUCAGCCACUACAACAGUCAUAAUUCAUGUCCUUCCCUGGACCACAACACAGCCAACUUCUUCCACAAAAACAACUACAACUACAACUACAAUUACUACUUCUGUCUUAAUAAAGAUUUCAUAUUAUUGGAUUCCUGAUAACUGGAUUCCUGCAUUAUUAACUCUAACAGGAGCUCUUUUUGUGAUGUACCUCUAUGCUGUUGCAUGGUGCCUCUUCAAAAAUUCUUCCAUUUUUUCAAGAUUAUUUCCCCACUGUCACAAACAUCACCAGAGCCAACCAAGUCUCACAACCAAAGGGCCUGGACUGGUACCGAGUGACAGGAAUACAAUAACUAUUUGACAGCAAGGCAGGAGAAGUCAAGAUGUUGAACAAUUAAGAAAAGAAUGUGAUGCCAAUGGGAGACAUUUGA
rnacentral:sRNA from 1 species